rnacentral:rRNA from 1 species
CCUACGGGAGGCAGCAGUGAGGAAUAUUGGUCAAUGGCCGGAAGGCUGAACCAGCCAAGCCGCGUGAAGGACGAAGGUGCCAAGCAUUGUAAACUUCUUUUGUCAAGGGACAAAAUCAGGCUCGAGACCCUGACCGCGGGUACUUGAAGAAAAAGCAUCGGCUAACUCCGUGCCAGCAGCCGCGGUAAUCCGGAGGAUGCGAGCGUUAUCCGGAUUUAUUGGGUUUCAGGGGUGCGUAGGCGGACUGUUAAGUCAGCGGUAAAAGCCCGGGGCGAAACCCCGGCGAGCCGUUGAAACUGGCUGUCUUGAGAUGUCGAGAGGUAUGCGGAAUGCGCAGUGUAGCGGUGAAAUGCUUAGAUAUUGCGCAGAACUCCGAUUGCGAAGGCAGCAUACCGGCGGCGAUCUGACGCUGAGGCACGAAAGCGUGGGUAUCGAACAGGAUUAGAUACCCUUGUAGUC